AUUGAACGCUGGCGGCAUGCCUUACACAUGCAAGUCGAACGGUAACAGGUCUUCGGAUGCUGACGAGUGGCGAACGGGUGAGUAAUACAUCGGAACGUGCCCGAUCGUGGGGGAUAACGGAGCGAAAGCUUUGCUAAUACCGCAUACGAUCUACGGAUGAAAGCAGGGGACCGCAAGGCCUUGCACGGACGGAGCGGCCGAUGGCAGAUUAGGUAGUUGGUGGGAUAAAAGCUUACCAAGCCGACGAUCUGUAGCUGGUCUGAGAGGACGACCAGCCACACUGGGACUGAGACACGGCCCAGACUCCUACGAGAGGCAGCAGUGGGGAAUUUUGGACAAUGGGCGAAAGCCUGAUCCAGCCAUGCCGCGUGCAGGAUGAAGGCCUUCGGGUUGUAAACUGCUUUUGUACGGAACGAAAAGACUCCUUCUAAUAAAGGGAGUCCAUGACGGUACCGUAAGAAUAAGCACCGGCUAACUACGUG
rnacentral:rRNA from 1 species